rnacentral:rRNA from 1 species
GGGAGCUGUGGACUGUAUAGAAGAGAGAAUGCCGGAAUGAGUAGCGAGAGGAAGGUGAGAAUCCUUCCGGCCGAAUAUCUAAGGUUUCCAGAGUAAAGCUGAUCUGCUCUGGGUAAGUCGGGGCCUAAGGCCAGGUCGAAAGACGUAACCGAUGGACAACAGGUUGAAAUUCCUGUACCUUAAGUAAACAGAACUGUGGGGACACGUGUGGAGAGCACAAGCCGGAAAUGGAAAAGCCGGUGCAAGCGAGGUAGGAGUACAGUAGGCAAAUCCGCUGUACAAUCCGAAGACGUGAUGCGGACCGAAUUAAGAGUAGGGAAGUGUGUGAGCCAUGCGCCAAGAAAAGCCGCUAUUGUUUUACUUAAGCCCGUACCGUAAACCGACACAGGUGGAUGAGGAGAGAAUCCUAAGGCCGACGGGAGAAGCAUUGUUAAGGAACUCGGCAAAAUGACUCCGUAACUUCGGGAGAAGGAGUGCCAGCGAGAGCUGGCCGCAGAGAAUUGGCCCAAGCAACUGUUUAGCAAAAACACAGGUCUAUGCAAAACCGUAAGGUGAAGUAUAUGGGCUGACGCCUGCCCGGUGCUGGAAGGUUAAGAGGAGAGGUUAGCGGCAACGCGAAGCUUUGAAUUUAAGCCCCAGUAAACGGCGGCCGUAACUAUAACGGUCCUAAGGUAGCGAAAUUCCUUGUCGGGUAAGUUCCGACCCGCACGAAAGGCGUAAUGAUUUGGGCACUGUCUCAACAAUGCACCCGGUGAAAUUGAAAUACCAGUGAAGAUGCUGGUUACCUGCGCCAGGACGGAAAGACCCCAUGGAGCUUUACUCCAGCUUGAUACUGGGAUUCGGUAUUGCAUGUACAGGAUAGGUGGGAGGCUAGGAAGUGAUAACGCCAGUUGUCACGGAGCCGCUGUUGGGAUACCACCCUUGCAGUAUUGGAUUUCUAACCAGCGACCAUGAACUGGUCGGGGGACAAUGUCAGGUGGGGAGUUUGACUGGGGCGGUCGCCUCCGAAAGGGUAUCGGAGGCGCUCAAAGGUUCCCUCAGAAUGGACGGAAACCAUUCGAAGAGUGCAAAGGCAGAAGGGAGCUUGACUGCGACACCGACGGGUGGAGCAGGUACGAAAGUAGGACUUAGUGAUCCGGUGGUAUAAAGUGGGAUUGCCAUCGUUCAACGGAUAAAAGCUACCCUGGGAUAACAGGCUUAUCACUCCCAAGAGUUCACAUCGACGGAGUGGUUUGGCACCUCGAUGUCGGCUCAUCGCAUCCUGGGGCUGAAGUAGGUCCCAAGGGUUGGGCUGUUCGCCCAUUAAAGCGGUACGCGAGCUGGGUUCAGAACGUCGUGAGACAGUUCGGUCCCUAUCAGGCGUGGGCGUAGGAUAUUUGAGAGGAGCUGUCCUUAGUACGAGAGGACCGGGAUGGACUGGCCGCUGGUGUAUCUGUUGCAUACCAAGUGCAUGGCAGAGUAGCCAAGCCGGGACGGGAUAAACGCUGAAGGCAUCUAAGCGUGAAGCCCCCCUCAAGAUGAGAUAUCCCUACGUAAGUAGUAAGACCCCUUGAAGACGACGAGGUAGAUAGGUCAGAGGUGGAAGUACAGUAAUGUAUGGAGCUGACUGAUACUAAUCGGUCGAGGGCAUGACCA